rnacentral:rRNA from 1 species
UGGGGAAUAUUGUACAAUGGAGGGAACCCUGAUGCAGCGACGCCGCGUGAACGAAGACGGCUUUCGAGUCGUAAAGUUCUUUUAUAUGGGAAGAUAAUGACGGUACCAUAAGAAGAAGCACCGGCUAACUACGUGCCAGCAGCCGAGGUAAUACGUAGGGGGCUAGCGUUGUCCGGAAUCACUGGGCGUAAAGGGUUCGCAGGCGGAAAUGCAAGUCAGGUGUAAAAGGCAGUAGCUUAACUACUGUAAGCAUUUGAAACUGCAUAUCUUGAGAGGAGUAGAGGUAAGUGGAAUUUUUAGUGUAGCGGUGAAAUGCGUAGAUAUUAAACAGAAUAGCGGUGGCGAAGGCAACUUACUGGGCUCAUUCUGACGCUGAGGAACGAAAGCGUGGGUAGCAAACAGG